AAGCUCUGCUAAUUGGGGUCAACUCAAGAAACAGAAUCCGGUAGUGCAACUGGCUAAAUUCAAUCAACAAAAGUGAAUCAAUGUCAAAAUGUUCAUCUCAAUUAUGGAUAUGAUCUAUCGCAGUGGUGAGUGUAAUCAAAGUUGUUGGAGCAUGGUGGAGAAGUGGUGCCAUUGUAAUGGCGACUGAUGGCCAUAACGGCAUAUUGAAUCACCAGAAAGGGGUGUGCUCAUAGCAUGGCUGUAAUGGUUGUAUGAAUCGUCACUAACCGCGCUUUAACUCUCCCUGCCCAGUACAACACGAUUUCGCUUUUUAUUAAACUACUUCAUCUUGAGGCAGUGUUUCUCUCCUAUAAAAAGGCUGGCCAUUGUUCUUCCACCGUGCAACUGUUCCGAUUCUGGUAAGCAAGGACGUUAAUCGUGGUGGCGAGUUGAUGUCUGAACCUUACACGGAGGCUUAACUACAAACACCAGCAACGUGCUCUCAAAUUCUCGGAUUCUAUAUUCAUGUUGCUUGCGAUUUAUAACCAGGCUGUUACUACAUUGCGAACAAGUAGUAGAUCUGAAUAGAGCAAGAGCUCCUUUGCUCGAGAUUGUAACUGAACCUCGUAUGGGAAGUGGGGUCGAAGCUGGUGAAUACGCCAGUGAGAUGCAAUAGAUUGUAAGGUAUUUAGGAUUGAGUACAUGAAUAUGCAAGAAGGCUCUCCCCGCUGCGUUAUCAAUAUCUCAUUCCGCCCAAUUGGGCAAGUUAAGUUUGUCACCAAGGUCAAUAAGUUAAUUUUCUCGAUUUAUCGUUUGUAGAUUCUGAUCUUUUUCAGAAAAUGCCGACUGUUUAAUUUGAUUCAGCAGGAGAGAUGCAUUAUAUUGGUACAUAUCUUGGUAUGCAAUCAAAAGGUUAAUACUUAGUUGCAUAAAUUAUGGCAAAAAGUACUACUACGACAGUAAAACAAAGGUAUAUAAAUGUAAAGAGAAGGCAACAUUUUACAGGUGUUAGUUUAAAAAAAAAACAUUUUUCUGGUGUUCUGUUAAGACUACUUGAAUCUUCAAAAUUUUUGGAUCAGGUGAGCAACUGGCAGAUUCCAGCCGUCGUGAAAGAUUUGGUGAAGAAAACGGAGGAAACGUCUAUGGAGAAUUUAGCUUCUGUUCCGAGUGCUGCUCAUCGUAGACUCACUUCAACUAAAGGGAAUACCAAUCAGUAAAUCAGUUUUAAAUAAGCUUUUCCCACAGCAUAAAAUGCCGCUAAGCAAGUUGUUC